CCUACGGGAGGCAGCAGUGGGGAAUCUUGCACAAUGGGCGCAAGCCUGAUGCAGCCAUGCCGCGUGAGUGAUGAAGGCCCUAGGGUUGUAAAACUCUUUCAGCAGGGAAGAUAAUGACGGUACCUGCAGAAGAAGCCCCGGCUAACUCCGUGCCAGCAGCCGCGGUAAUACGGAGGGGGCUAGCGUUGUUCGGAAUUACUGGGCGUAAAGCGCGCGUAGGCGGCUUGGUCAGUUAGGGGUGAAAGCCCGGAGCCCAACUCCGGAAAUGCCUUUAAUACUGCCAGGCUAGAGUUCGGUAGAGGAGAGUGGAAUUUCCAGUGUAGAGGUGAAAUUCGUAGAUAUUGGAAAGAACACCAGUGGCGAAGGCGGCUCUCUGGCCCGAUACUGACGCUGAGGUGCGAAAGCGUGGGGAGCAAACAGGAUUAGAUACCCUUGUAGUC
rnacentral:rRNA from 1 species